rnacentral:rRNA from 1 species
GACGAACGCUGGCGGCGUGCUUAACACAUGCAAGUCGAACGGAAAGGCCCUGCUUUUGUGGGGUGCUCGAGUGGCGAACGGGUGAGUAACACGUGAGUAACCUGCCCUUGACUUUGGGAUAACUUCAGGAAACUGGGGCUAAUACCGGAUAGGAGCUCCUGCUGCAUGGUGGGGGUUGGAAAGUUUCGGCGGUUGGGGAUGGACUCGCGGCUUAUCAGCCUGUUGGUGGGGUAGUGGCUUACCAAGGCUUUGACGGGUAGCCGGCCUGAGAGGGUGACCGGCCACAUUGGGACUGAGAUACGGCCCAGACUCCUACGGGAGGCAGCAGUGGGGAAUAUUGCACAAUGGGCGGAAGCCUGAUGCAGCAACGCCGCGUGCGGGAUGACGGCCUUCGGGUUAUAAACCGCUUUCGCCUGUGACGAAGCGUGAGUGACGGUAAUGGGUAAAGAAGCACCGGCUAACUACGUG